UAUCGUGGAUUAGAAUAAUAUUUUUUUUAUUCAAUUAUGGUCACUCAGAGUGCAUGCUCGGGGCGUGCAUUUCGUGGCCGAGGAGUACCCCACACUAGCGUCUCCCGAGCGUCGGCGUCUAGUCAACUCUAUGGCUGCUGCUCGACGCAAUGUUAGCGCAACUGCGCAGCGACGCCAUUUUCCAUAACGCUGACUAGACACCGACGCUCAAAAGAUGCUAGUGUGGGAUGGGGUAAACACUGCAUAUUUUCUUACUUCAACGCGUAACUAAUCAGUUUUGUUUCAGUGAUGCCAUUAUUGCAGGCAUGUUGUAUGACCGCCUCUUUGCGCACGGGAUGCUUAAUAAUAGGAAUACUUAUGUUAAUAACGUCCCUUUUAGUCUGCGGAUAUCCCAGCUACGAGGGUUUUGCUUUAAUUUUAGCUACUUUCAUAUACAUAGAUUGUAUAAUAACAGCAAUAACCAGCAUUUUGUUUCUGGUGUUUGGGAUUUAUGUGGAUAGGUUAUGGGCAAUGAUAAUGUAUGCAAAUAUAUUGGUAAUAAAAAUAUUCGUGGAUUUAAUACUUUUUAUUUUCGCAAUAAUUUUAGGAAGCAAGUUUAUUUUCAAUCUAAUAAACGCAAUAUUUAUGACGUUUUAUAACAUGUACUGUUUUUGGGUGGUGUACAGUUACUACAGGGAAAGUGCUGGGGAUCUUAUUCCGUUGUGAGACACGAUUCAGAAACAGUGAGAUGUCCUAUGUUCUGCACAAAAAUAAUAAUUUGCCUAAUUAAAUGCGUCGAGAAACGCAAUGGAAUCGUGUGACUGAAAUCGGAAUUUAAAAGGAUCCUUGGAAAGAUUCUCCACUCUGCGAGCGCAGCGAGGAAACGAUGCUUCCAACGCUGUUACCUUCACUCGUAUUCUGGACCAGCUGAAGAUUUGGAUCAGUCACGUCUGAGUUGGUUACCUGGCUAGAUACUGGGUACUAAUUAACUUCAGUGAAAUUCAAAUCAGAACCAAGAACAAAGUUGCUUUUGUGACGUUUCGUUCGAUUUUAAAACCGAACCCAGUCUAUUCUAUUUUCUAGUACCAUUGAUUCAAUAUUGACUACCAUUUUCUUACAUGGUGGGCCGUUAAAGCUCUGGCUAUGACUGUCGUUACCUGGAUAUUUUCUGCUAUAUUCAUAAUAGCUAGCAUUGCGUUCCUGUAUUGCGGGGUUCAUAAGAAUGGAGCGCAGACUAAACGAGCAUAUGCGAUGAUACUACUGAUAAAACUAUUCGUCACAAUAAUAUUUUUUAUUGUUCUUGCUGUAAAAUACGGAUUUGUAAAUUUCGGUUUAGCUGUCGGUUUGAUCAUUCUUGAAGUCAUUGUCGAUAUUUACUUUUUCGUGGUGGUAUACAGUUACUACAAGGAACAAACAGUUAUUCCGGAAAGAACUUGAAGUCAAACUCACCCCAUCACUAAACCAAACAUAGGCAAAUCCACGGUAAAAGAAAUACAACAGCCAUUCUUGAUCGUAUUUGUGAAGUGUUUUGGAAAUAAGUUCAAUAUUAUAAACCUGUUUAGUGUAUAAUGUAAGGUUUAUAUUAUAUUAUCUAAUUAUAAUUAAUUUUUCGUAAAAUUAAACAUACGUAAAUGAC